rnacentral:lncRNA from 1 species
ACCAAUCUUUGAGAUUUUUACCCCGAACUACGAUGUUUUGAUCCUACCUUUGUGAUGGUACGUAGGAAAUGGGUUCAUCCAUUCAAACAACAAAAUUGUAAAUAUAAUGUAUAUUGUCUUCUCAUCUCCACAAUCUUAUUUGCAUAAUUUUUUUCACAAAUACCAACCUACAACACACAUUUGCAAAAAGGGCUCCCUUAGAGUACUAAGGAUGUUUUGGGUGCUUAAAACCUUACAUUUCA